UUUCCAAAAAACCGGAGAACAAGAUUUUUUUUUGGAGGGUUCGGUUCAAUUCCAAAUGAAGCACCAAACUUAAAGGACUUUUAACGAAAGUUUCAUGGGAAGGGCCAAGUUCUGGUGCCAGCCAGCCGCGGUAAUUUCCAGCUCCCCAACGUGUAUUUCGUCAUUGCUGCGGGUUAAAAAGCUCGUAGUUGGAUCUUAGCUCAUGUCGGUAGUUCUCCAUGUGAGAUACUGCUCGGCUGAGCUGUUUCGCCGUUUUUCCGUAGUUCGGGCUGCGGUGACUGGUGUGUAAACUUUGAUUAAAUCAAUGUGAUUAAAACAGGCGUUUGCUUGAAUGCUUUAUCAUGGAAUAAUAGAAUAUGACUUCGGUCCAUUCUGUUGGUCUUGGGAUCGAAGUAAUGAUUAAAAGGAACAACUCGGGGGCAUCCGUAUCGCUGCGUGAGAGGUGAAAUUCUUGGACCGCAGCGAGACGACCUAUUGCGAAAGCAUUUGCCAAGAAUGUUUUCAUUAAUCAAGAACGAAAGUCAGAGGAUCGAAGGCGAUUAGAUACCGCCCUAGUUCUGACCGUAAACUAUGCCAACUAGCGAUCAGGUGGUGGUAGUUUAGCCCUGCCUGGGAGCUUCUCGGAAACGAAAGUCUUCGGGUUCCGGGGGUAGUAUGGUUGCAAAUCUGAAACUUAAAGGAAUUGACGGAAGGGCACCACCAGGAGUGGAGCCUGCGGCUUAAUUUGACUCAACACGGGAAAUCUCACCCGGACCGGACACUAUAAUGAUUGACAGAUUGAUAGUUCUUUCUUGAUUUGGUGGUUGGUGGUGCAUGGCCGUUCUUAGUUCGUGGAUUGAUCUGUCUGGUUUAUUCCGAUAACGAACGAGACUCUAACCUGCUAACUAGUGAUGCGUUAAUUGAGACGUACCUACUUCUUAGAGGGAUAAGCGGUGUUCAACCGCAUGAGAUUGAGUAAUAACAGGUCUGUGAUGCCCUUAGAUGUUCGGGGCUGCACGCGCGCUACACUGGAAAGUGCAGCAAGCGUUAUUAACCUUGGCCGAAAGGUCUGGGUAAUCUUUUGAAAGCUUUUCGUGUUUGGAAUAGAGGAUUGAAAUUAUUUCUCUUGAACGAGGAAUUAGAGCUCGGUACCCGGGGAUCCUCUAGAGUCGACCUGCAGGCAUGCAAGCUUGAGUAUCUAUAUUCACUAAUCCUUUUAUAUUCUUAUAUAUA
rnacentral:rRNA from 1 species